GUUUAUAUAGUUUAAUACAAAUAUUAAAUUGCAAAUUUAAAGAUAUUUAUAUAAUUAUAAAAG
rnacentral:tRNA from 1 species